rnacentral:lncRNA from 1 species
UUUCUCUCCAAUGUGUCUUCUAAUUUAGAUUUAUCAUGCAUGUCUCUGAAAAAAGUAUGCGACGCGUAACAGUUUAUUAGUCUUGGUGUUCAUAUGCAUUUGAUACGGUGCAUUUAUUAUGGAUAUAUUUCAGACUCCAUUUAUGAGAGAAAAUCUACAGAGCAGAGCAUUUUUUUUUGUAGCUCUAUUUUAGAACAUGAGAUUUAAACUGGUUGAAAUGAAUUAAGUUUGAAAUUUGUCAAAGUAAGCUUUAAGAAUUUUUGAAAAAGGGGGAGGGAUCAAAAAUGAUUGUCCUGUCCCUAAGCAUCAAUUCUUUGAAAUAGAGAACGGCAUCUGUUACAAUAAGAGCGCUGGUUUUUUUUUUUACAUUUUUCCUACAUUGCGCAAGUCUUGUUGCAUGUCUGCGUAGCGUUAUCGAUAUAAAGGAAACAAUUCUUUUUAAACAAUUUACUAGGACUAUCUCUAAAUUGUCGAGGUUAUGUUUGCUUUUAUCUCCGUGUUUACUAAAAUUUAGAGAUGAAGAACAACAAUAAAGCAUUUUCCCUUCCUUUCACGUUAUUGUGUGCGAGCGAUGAUUUGUUUGGUUAUAAUAGAGAAUGGUAACGGCGAAUGUAUCAAAGAGACAACCUCCAUACCAAGGAGCAGAAAGCUGUCCAAGGCUUAUUGGUCUUUAUCGCAGCGAGAAGACCCCGCACUCGGAGACAGGCUACAGCUUGCCUCUGAAAAACUAUGCAUUCUAGCUCAGCAAAAUGAACGCCACAACAAACUCCGAAACAUUCAAAUGAACAAAACAAACCCAACAUGAUACUAACAAAGCUAGAGGUUCCUGAUUUGGCACAGACGCCAAAAAGCGUCGGGGUUUACAUAUUUUGUGAUAUCUCUCUAAGCCAAUGUAGAAUUAACAAACCCCAACAAUACACACAGUAAAACUGAGUUAAAAAGAAC